AUGAAAUGCUUGGGGAGCUUUCAGAGAUGGGAUGCAGUCGAAGGGACAUUGUUUCCUCAGCUUGAGGAACUGUUAGUUUUGAGAUGCCCAAAGGUAACAGAUUUACCUGAAGCAUCAAAACUCAGUGUAUUAUUUAUUAUAGAUGGCAAGCAAGAGAUCUUCCACUGUGUAGACAGGUAUUUGUCUUCAUUGACCAAUCUGACACUGAGGCUGGAAUACACAGAAACAACAUCAGAGGCUGAGUGCACUUCAAUUGUACUGGUGGACAGCAAAGAGAAAUGGAACCAGAAAUCCGUUCUUACAGUUGUGAGGUUAGGAUGCUGCAACUCAUUCUUUGGACCAGGUGCACUAGAGCCGUGGGACUAUUUUGUACACCUUGAAAAGUUGGAAAUUGAUAGAUGCGCUGUGCUCGUUCACUGGCCAGAGAAAGUGUUCCUAAGCUUGGUAUCCUUGAGGACAUUAGUCAGUACAAACUGCGAAAAUCUGACUGGAUAUGCAUUGAGCCAUUGGCGUCCGAAAGGAGUGAACACCUGA
rnacentral:rRNA from 1 species